UGGCCACUAUUACAUAGACAAGAUCUCAGGAGCAGGCAUAGUUUGUGGGGGUGGGAGCAUCAUGAGCUAGGUUCAAACACACUGAUUCUGAGACAUCUAGGGAACCACAGAACAAGUUCUGGGCUGGAGAUGUAGAUUUCAUUUGAGAGCUGCCAGUAGUAGAGACGGUAAUUGAAGCCAUGGGAAUGGAGGUGAUUGUCCAGGGAGUGUAGGUAAAGUGAGAAUAGAUAAGUGCCAAAGGGCACAGUCUGGGUAUGUCAACAUUUAAGUGACAAUUUCAGAAAGAGAAGCCAAGGAAGAAACCAGAGAAAAGCAGUUGGAGAAGCAAGAAGGCAACCAGAAGUGGCCUUGGUACAGCUGUGAUGGGGAGACAAUGACGAAACAGCAGGAACUGGCACUGAGAGUUAUUGGUGUAGCUUGGGCUCUCCCCUCAUCAUCCUCUCCAGCUGGGAGUCAUGUGACAGAAGCAAGAAGCCUGUCACAGCGCACAUGUAAAAGAGCAAACUCCAGACACACACGUCUUAUCUGUGCUGACGGCCCACCUUGGUGACUGGAAAUGACACCAUCCAAUUUUUUCUGGCCGCAAUGUUGCACCCCUGAUUUUUUCCUUCAUAUGACAGACUUCACAGCAAAUACUCCUACUGAGUCCAAACAACCGCUACGAUUGAGAACAAGCAUGAAUCCGCCACCCACCUUCUCCUGGAAAUAAGGUUAUUGGGUUGCUGAACUCCCAUGAACCAAAAAGAAAACACUGAAUGGUAUCCAAACCAGCCUGGAAAGGACAGCGAGAAAAGCCAGAACCAAGGCUGACCAGCCUGAAUGCUGGUAAAUGUUAUCAAGAUUUCUCUAUUCAUGCUACUCAACAUCCCAAAAAGAAUCAGCAUAAGGCCACAAACUCAACAAAAUUCCUUCUCCUGUUCAUUAAACUCCUGUCCUGACUCCAAGUUCACACCUAAAUAAACAGGCAAGCCUGUGCUCUGCACCCUGAGGAACAGUCUCCUAGGCUUUGUCCUUGCAGAGAGCCCAUUUCCAAGGACAGGCCGUCCAUCUACCCAGCUUUUCUCAAGGCCACAUAGCUCCUCUCUAAAGACAGCCAUCCCCAGGGGUUCAGUUGAUCCUGACAGCUGCGCCUACAGAGAAAGAAGGGAAGAGAGAUGGGAGAGGAAGAUCUCCCAGGAGUCAGGAUGCAAGGUGAAGCCAGCUGUUGAUCAGCGGUCACUCAGCAGCUAGACCAUGCGACACUCUCCUUCUGAAGGCUGCAGGCUGUGAGAGUGUUCUGAGUGGCAUUUAAGGAUAGCUCCCAUGCAGCGUGCCAGCUUCGGCAGGGCCUCCUAUGGUAAGCCCUAAAACACAGAGGGAAAAGAAUAACCAAGUGGAAGUGGAUCAUCAUGCCAUCUAUCAGAGACAAUGCAUGUGAGAAUGCUGCUACUAAAUGAAUGAAAAACGCUUUGUAAACUCAAAGUCUGUGGUUCUCAAACUUGAGCAUGUAUCUUUUUUUUUUUUUUUAAAUUAAAACGCUGAUUUACUUGGCCUUA
rnacentral:lncRNA from 1 species